CACGUAGGGCGCAAGCGUUGUCCGGAAUUAUUGGGCGUAAAGAGCUCGUAGGCGGCUUGUCACGUCGGGUGUGAAAGCCCGGGGCUUAACCCCGGGUCUGCAUUCGAUACGGGCUAGCUAGAGUGUGGUAGGGGAGAUCGGAAUUCCUGGUGUAGCGGUGAAAUGCGCAGAUAUCAGGAGGAACACCGAUGGCGAAGGCAGGUCUCUGGGCCAUAACUGACGCUGAGAAGCGAAAGCAUGGGGAGCGAACAGG
rnacentral:rRNA from 1 species